rnacentral:rRNA from 1 species
GUGGAUUAGAUACCCUGGUAGUCCACGCCGUAAACGAUGAGUGCUAGACGUCGGGAAGCUUGCUUUUCGGUGUCGCAGCUAACGCAUUAAGCACUCCGCCUGGGGAGUACGGCCGCAAGGUUAAAACUCAAAGGAAUUGACGGGGGCCCGCACAAGCGGUGGAGCAUGUGGUUUAAUUCGAUGCAACGCGAAGAACCUUACCAGCUCUUGACAUGCUAGAUUUCGGUCCCGAGAGAUCGGGACUUUCAGUUCGGCUGGGUCUAGUACAGGUGCUGCACGGUCGUCGUCAACU